rnacentral:rRNA from 1 species
CGCUAGCGACAGGCUUAACACAUGCAAGUCGAGGAGCAGCAUAAAAGUAGCAAUACUUUGGUGGCGACCGGCGCACGGGUGAGUAACGCGUAUGCAACCUACCUAUCAGGAGGGGAGUAACCCGGCGAAAGUCGGACUAAUACCGCAUAAAACAGGGGCACCGCAUGGCGAUAUUUGUUAAAGAAAUUCGCUGAUAGAUGGGCAUGCGUUCCAUUAGGUAGUUGGUGAGGUAACGGCUCACCAAGCCGACGAUGGAUAGGGGAACUGAGAGGUUGGUCCCCCACACUGGUACUGAGACACGGACCAGACUCCUACGGGAGGCAGCAGUGAGGAAUAUUGGUCAAUGGGCGGGAGCCUGAACCAGCCAAGUCCGCGUGAAGGAAGAAGGAUCUAUGGUUCGUAAACUUCUUUUGCAGGGGAAUAAAGUGCAGGACGUGUCCUGUUUUGUAUGUACCCUGAGAAUAAGGAUCGGCUAACUCCGUGCCAGCCGCCGC